GUGGUGUAGUGGUUGUCACAUCUGUCUUACAAACAGAAGAUCGGCGGUUCGAUCCCGCCC
rnacentral:tRNA from 1 species